AUUUCAUCAAUACCCCUCUGAAAAAUCAUAAUUUUAUGAAUAACCCUCUAAACUAAAAAAUAUCAUCAAUACCCCUCUUAAAACAAAAAAUGUUCACAGAUACCCUUUAGGUUCACUUUCCGUCAAGUGAUCAUCCAAUAUUUUAUAAAUACCAAUUUUACCCCUAGCAACAUUUUAAAUAUGUAAUAUUUAAGAUUAAUUAUCUGAUCAAUUUUUAACAUUUGAAUCACAUAAUAAUUUAACAUUAUUUUUAAAAUACUUCAAUUAAAGAUCUAUAGUCUAUUAAGUGUAAUAGUUAAAUGUCAUUAUGAUUUUUCACUUUUAAAUUAUACAUAGUUAUAAUGCACUUUGUCCAUAGUAGAAUUUAACAUUAACUAUUUAAAGAUUUAUUUUUAAAAAUUUUAUUUAAAUAACUCACAUAUCUCAUGCUAAAAAUAUUUUGAUAUCAAAAUUCUUGAUAUUAGAGUAUUACUUAUAUGAUCUACUCAAACAAAAAAUUUUUAAUUGAAAAUUUAUUGUUAACAAUAAAGUAAAAUUUUAUGGAAACCCUCUCAUCUAUAGUCCACUUCGACAUAAUCCUAACUCGGAAAAGCGUGAAAUUUAACUUUCAGAUAGUUUAAAUGGUUGAUAUUAUGUUAACGGUGCCGAUUGUCAAUUUGAAAGUUCUAUUAUUGAAAACAAAUCGUAGUAAACCAAGCUGUACUACCGAUAGUAUUAUAACAAAACUCUCUAUAUAUAUACCCUCUCAACCUAAGUGUUUUUUUUUUAAAAUUUUAGCAAUUGAGUGUUUUUUCCAACAAAAUUAAAAAUUUUAUCAAAUUCAUGUGAGGAAUCUCAAUUAAAAAACUUUUAACUAAGUCAAAAUAAAAAAAAACUAAUAGUUCAAGGUCUCUUAAUGUUAAAAAAUAAAACUUAAAGGGGUCUAAUUCAAAAUAAUCUAUAGGUGAGAGCUUUUUUAUUUUUUACGCACUAAGAAUUAGUGCUAGAGAUGUUAUUUUUAAAAUUUAGAAGGGUACUUAUGAAAUUGCCCCUUAAUUAUUUGCUAUUAAAAUAACACCUAACCUUUUUAGGGCUAAAUUAGUUAUUUUGUAACUGAACAUUUAUUUAACCAAACUUUAACCAUGGUUAUAGUAACAGCCGUUAGAAGGAAGUGUAAUUGUGAAAAUUUUUUGCAUUUGAAAGGAUAUAUAUGAUAUUUUCAACUUUGCAGGGGUAUCUACGAUAUUUACAUAUUUGAGAGGGGUAGCGAUGAAAUUGCCCCAUAAAAAAAUAAUUAUUUAUGCAAAUAUAAAUUUAUUAGGACGUAAAAAAAAGUUUGAUGGGACUAAACACAGAAAAAAGCCAUUAUUUGAAGUACUACAUCAGUAUUCAAGUGCUUUCAUUAGAAUUAGAAAGGAAGGUUCAAUUAUUGCAGAUGGGAACCAAUGUCAGAUUUGCAAUUAUUUCAAUUACAGUAGUUUGAAAGAAUAAUUUUAUAUAAAGAAAUAAAUUUCUUUUUUUAAUAUUAUCUCAAGGGCGUGUCUGAUUCGGAUUAUUUUGGCAAGAUUGCAUGCAAUCCUAUCAAGAUUAUUAUGUUUGGUUUAUCCAGUAUGUAAUCUGGUCAGUAAUACGGCAUUAUAAAUGGUACAGGAUUAUACAAUAAAUAUUACCGAGUAAGUAGUGAAUAUUUCGUAUUACUAGUGGCGAGUUAUCUUACCUGUAUGCAAAAUUAUAAAUUUAUCUGUACAAACCCCCAAACCUUUUCAAUACGUCAUUUUUAAACUAUUAAUUUCAAUUUUUAAAUUGNUCCAACCCCAAACCCUUUUAAUACAUCAUUUUUAAAAUUUUAAUUUAACUUUUAAAUUUAAAUAUUUUAAUUUUCAAUUUUUAAAUUUUAAAUUUUAAUUUGAAUUUUUAAAUUUUAAAUUUUUAAAAUUUUAAAUUUUAAAUUUUUAAAUUUCAAGUUUUCAACUUUCAAGUUUUAAAUUAUAAAUUAUAAAUUAUAAAUUAUAAAUUUUAAACUUCAAAUUUAGAUUUUAAAUUUUAAAUUUUAAAUUUAAAUUUCAUAUGUAUAUUUUAAAUUAAAAUAUUAAAAUUUAUAUUUUUUGUUAAAAUUUAAAAUUUAAAAUUUAAAAUUUAAAAUUUAAAACUAAAAUGUAAAUUCAAAUUUUAAAUUAUUUAAAAUAAAAUUUAGUAAAAAAACUAUUAUUUGUGGCCAGCAAAAUUUCUUUUACCAAAUAUAAAGGCAAUUCUGAAAUAGAUUAUAUUUUGUUGUUAGGAUUACUUAAUUUUAUAAACUUAACUAAAUAUAGAAAUGCUAUAUACCUUGCAAUCCAGCAUUAUAUUACUGCAUUAAAUCAGACGCGUUAAUGUAACAUGAGUAGUAGUCUAAUUCAGAAAUUCAAAAUAUCUAGAUAUGUCGAAAUAAGCUGUAAUGUUACAUAACGUGAACCAAAUGAGCUGUAAUGUCACAUUAAUUUUUUUAAAUUUUUACUAAAAAUUAUUUGAAUUUUUAUUAAUCUUAAGAUGGAGGGUGUAAAAUCUGCACCCUCUUUUUUGGGUGUUCAACAUGCAUUUUUCACAAAACAAGAUUAAUUACAUACAGAUUCUUGUAAACAUAUUGAAUUACAGAUAUGUUCCUACAAAGUUUAACUUUUCAUAUUUAUUCCUGCAAAGGUCCUAACAUUUCCAAAUAUAUCUUUAUUGUUAGGACCAUUAGAAAAAUAUAGUUAACAUAGGUAAAUACUUAAUCUUAAUUAGUGAAUGAGAUAAAUUAAUAUUUUUAUCUUUUUUAUAUUAUUUGUGAUCGCAGAAAGGAAGAGUAUGACCGUUUGAGAUUUUUGAAAUGUCAUUUUCGCAUAAUUCUAACCGCCGCUUCGCUUAUUUCAUUUAGAAGUAAACUUAGCUGGAAAUGUGAAUCAAUUAGGAUUCGAAUUUCGGACCUUGGCUACCAACUACCAGGCCCUGCCACUUGCGCUAGGGACUGUAGGUUUUUGGCAAAAUGUUAUUUUAUUUAUCCUCUGUUAAAUAGUAAACAGUGUGCUCUAACGACGACAAAUCAGAAGGACAUAUAUGAAUCACUCGACUUUUGUAGGAAUAACUAUGAAAAGUUAAACUUUGUAAAAUACAUUUUCUAUUCUAUAUAUUUACGAAAAAAUGUAUGAAGAGCUUCUUUUGGAAUUACGGGAAGAUUGCGUUACAUGCGAUGAAAAACGGCGAUGGAAAAAUAUCAUGUUUGUUUCUAUACGUAAUAUUGUGUUCUGCAUAUUGCAAUUAGUCGGUCGGUCACGAUAUAUUUUCUACGAUCCCAUCGAAGAAUAUAGAAGCAUAUUGCUAUAUAUUUUUUCUCAACUCUAUUCUAUCUAAUAGCGAUAAAUUUAUCACAAUAUCAAACUAAGCCUAAUCCUACAACAAAAAUUGCAAGU
rnacentral:lncRNA from 1 species